rnacentral:rRNA from 1 species
UGCCGGUUUUCCGGGAUUUCUGGGCGUAAAGCGCGCGUAGGCGGCUUGGUCAGUCGGAUGUGAAAGCCCCUCGCAAAACCUUGGAAUUGCAUUCGAUACUGCCUGGCUAGAGUAUGGUAGAGGGAAGUGGAAUUUCCGGUGUAGCGGUGAAAUGCGUAGAUAUCGGAAGGAACACCAGUGGCGAAGGCGACUUCCUGGGCCAAUACUGACGCUGAGGUGCGAAAGCGUGGGGAGCAAACAGGACUAGAUACCCUGGUAGUCCACGCCGUAAACGAUGAGAACUAGAUGUCGGGAGGAUUUAGCCUUUCGGUGUCGCAGCUAACGCGUUAAGUUCUCCGCCUGGGGAGUACGCCGGCAACGG